CCUACGGGUGGCAGCAGUGGGGAAUAUUGGGCAAUGGGCGCAAGCCUGACCCAGCAACGCCACGUGAAGGAUGAAGGCUCUCGGGUUGGAAAACUCUUUUUACAGGGACGUAGCGAGUGACGGUACCUGAUGAAUAAGCCACGUCUAACUACGUGCCAGCAGCCGCGGUAAUCCGUAGGUGGCAAGCGUUAUCCGGAUUUACUGGGUGUAAAGGUCGUGUAGGCGGGAGUGCAAGUCAGAUGUGAAACUUAGCGGCUCAACCCUUAGACUGCAUUUGAAACUGUACUUCUUGAGUGCAGGAGAGGCAAGCGGAAGUCGGGGUGUAGCGGUGAAAUGCGUAGAUAUACGGAAGAACACCAGUGGCGAAGGCGGAUUGCUGAACAGUAACUGACGCUGAGGCGCGAAAGCGUGGGGAGCAAACAGGAUUAGAUACCCUGGUAGUC
rnacentral:rRNA from 1 species